AGGAAAGAUUUCACCAUGGUAGAAAAUAAGCCAACCAUCCUAUUCCAUCAACAAUAGUGCCUCUGUGUUUUAUAAACAUAAAAAGCAGCGUCUUAUAAAUAGGGAUUAUAAAAGAAACAUCUCUGUCCUGGAGAUAAGCUGUUUUAUUGGAAAGAAAUGUCACUGGAGGGGUAUUCACAAACUGGGGUGCAUCUAAUCAGAAUUUUAGAUUUAUAUAUCACCCCUCUGUUCUGCUGUCUUAUAAAUUAAUGGUACCACACCAGCACGUUAAAGAGAUGGAAUUAUAUUUAGCCUGGCAUACUAAUAACAACAAUUCUUUCUGCUAAGUCUCAAUCAAUAUCACUGCUGUAGCAUUGCAGAAGAUGGAAAACUCAGGCUCACAAACUCCAGGAUAUUUGGGAUCUGCUCCAGCUCCUGUUAAGACAGCUCAGAAGCCAAGAGACAGCAUGGAAAAGGACAGAUCAUGGAAAACACCCAAAGACCUCUUCACAUGUGUUUGAGCUCUUGCACAGUCAACAUUUUAUUGGCUUCAAAUUGGGAUAGCAUCCCAGGAGGUUAUCACUGGAUGAAAAAGCAAUCUCAGACUGUGAAGGUAGGGAGGUUCUCUGUUCUCUCAGGAAAGACAAAGCAUGGCUAAUGUUGGAAGAUGGUGAGAGUACUUUUUGUUCAGG